rnacentral:tRNA from 4 species
GGGCCGUUAGCUCAGCUGGUAGAGCACCGGACUUUUAAUCCGUGUGUCACAGGUUCGAUCCCUGUACGGCCCACCA